CCUACGGGGUGCUGCAGUGAGGAAUAUUGGUCAAUGGGCUUACGCCUGAACCAGCCAAGUCGCGUGAGGGAAGACUGCCCUAUGGGUUGUAAACCUCUUUUGUCAGGGAGCAAUUGGCGCUACGUGUAGCGUUAUCGAGAGUACCUGAAGAAAAAGCAUCGACUAACUCCGUGCCAGCAGCCGCGGUAAUACGGAGGAUGCGAGCGUUAUCCGGAUUUAUUGGGUUUAAAGGGUGCGUAGGCGGACUGGAAAGUCAGCGGUAAAAUCGAGAGGCUCAACCUCUUUCCGCCGUUGAAACUGUCGGUCUUGAGUGGGCGAGAAGUAUGCGGAAUGCAUGGUGUAGCGGUGAAAUGCAUAGAUAUCACGCAGAACUCCGAUUGCGAAGGCAGCAUACCGGCGCCCGACUGACGCUGAGGCACGAAAGCGUGGGUAUCGAACAGGAUUAGAUACCCGGGUAGUC
rnacentral:rRNA from 1 species